GACCUCUGGCAAUGGGCAAAGAGACAUCUUGGUGGUGUUCUUCUGUCAGUCAGGGGCAGAGCAGAUGGCAGUCCUUUGCUCAUUUUAGCUUGAUACUUUGCUUGGUGGCCAAAGCUGUUUUACGCCUAGGACUCAUAA